CUUGAUUUCACUCCCUCAUCUUUCACGGUUGAUAUCUGCUGCAGGUGGGACUUGAACCUGGGUCUCCUGCUCUAAAGGCUGGCAUACUACCACCAUACCACAAGAGCCCUUCGAAUUGGAAUAUCUUGAUAUUUUCCAGUCAAUCUGCUCAAGGCUGUUAUUACACUCCUCUGGAGCAGGGAAUUUUCUGAAUGAAAGUGUGCGAGGCUGACACGAGGUGUAAACGUUAUCAAUCAUCCGGAGGGAGGCAUUCUCUAAAUUAAGAAACUACUUAUGGUGAAGGUUACAGGAAUAUGGUUCCAAGGAUUCUCAUUUGAGAAAGGCAACAGAAAGAAAAGUCUCAUUGAAAAUUAUACGUUUACUUCUGAAAUGGACAGAAGUUCUUCAUAUGUGGAGAAACUGGCUUGUUCCUUUUAAAUUGAAGUUUUAUGUUCAUUUAUGUUUUCCCAUUUAAUGACGCUAGAGAAGGGCAAAGAUAAACUUUAUCCUCAAGAAGGAUAAUGGCAGAGGCACAGGAACAACACCAUCAACUAUCCAAAGGUCCUAUCCAAACAACACAAUCCUGACUUGGAAAUAAGUCACCCUGUCACU